rnacentral:rRNA from 1 species
AUUGAACGCUGGCGGCAUGCCUUACACAUGCAAGUCGAACGGCAGCACGGGAGCAAUCCUGGUGGCGAGUGGCGAACGGGUGAGUAAUAUAUCGGAACGUGCCCGGUCGUGGGGGAUAACGUAGCGAAAGCUACGCUAAUACCGCAUACGAUCUAUGGAUGAAAGCGGGGGAUCGCAAGACCUCGCGCGAUUGGAGCGGCCGAUAUCAGAUUAGGUAGUUGGUGAGGUAAAGGCUCACCAAGCCGACGAUCUGUAGCUGGUCUGAGAGGACGACCAGCCACACUGGGACUGAGACACGGCCCAGACUCCUACGGGAGGCAGCAGUGGGGAAUUUUGGACAAUGGGCGCAAGCCUGAUCCAGCAAUGCCGCGUGCAGGAUGAAGGCCUUCGGGUU